rnacentral:rRNA from 1 species
UACGGGGGGAGCAAGCGUUGUCCGGAAUUACUGGGCGUAAAGAGCUCGUAGGUGGUUUGUCGCGUUGUUCGUGAAAACUCACAGCUUAACUGUGGGCGUGCGGGCGAUACGGGCAGACUGGAGUACUGCAGGGGAGACUGGAAUUCCUGGUGUAGCGGUGGAAUGCGUAGAUAUCUGGAGGAACACCGGUGGCGAAGGCGGUUCUCUGGGCAUGUCCUGACGCUGAGGAGCGAAAGUGUGGGGAGCGAACAGG